rnacentral:rRNA from 1 species
UACGUAGGGUGCAAGCGUUUAAUCGGAAUUACUGGGCGUAAAGCGUGCGCAGGCGGUUAUGUAAGACAGUUGUGAAAUCCCCGGGCUCAACCUGGGAACUGCAUCUGUGACUGCAUAGCUAGAGUACGGUAGAGGGGGAUGGAAUUCCGCGUGUAGCAGUGAAAUGCGUAGAUAUGCGGAGGGAGCACCGAUGGCGAAGGCAAUCCCCUGGACCUGUACUGACGCUCAUGCACGAAAGCGUGGGGAGCAAACAGGGAUUA